UCCCUGAUGCAGAGAUAAUGAAUGUAGAAGCUAGUGGAAUGGUUGACCAUAGGUAUGUGACCUCAGAGGAGCUUGAAUAAGAAUCUGAUGUGAAGAUACGUCGACUUUUAGUUGAACGAACGCUUUUCUGUAGGAUCAUUUGCUGCAGUGGAGGAAUUAAGGAAUUAAGUUUAUCCAGAUUCCAGCCGCAAAGAUUCAUCUCAAGGGAUUAUAUUCUUGGAAAUGUCAGAAGAAGAUUCCUGGGUCUUGGAAGCCACUUACUCAAAGUAUGCAGAGGAGGAAUAGAAUUGAAGGGUGUUUUUCUUAGAGAACAUCAUUUGUCAGAUUCAUCAAGAAUUUAGAGAUUUAUAAUAAGAUGCAGGUGCACCGUUGCAACACACAUGAUGCAUGAAUAUCAGUUUUCACAGUGUAGUUAAACAACACCUGACCUGCAACAACACAGCUGAACUUUUAGUUGUCACAAUAUUAACUGAAUUAUUGCAUAAACUUUGCUGCUCGCUCUUUAUUCCACAAAUCAUUAUGCAAAUAAAAGAUGUGCAUCAUGAAUAAGAA